GAUGAACGCUGGCGGCGUGCCUAAUACAUGCAAGUCGAGCGAACGGAUGAGAAGCUUGCUCCUCUGAUGUUAGCGGCGGACGGGUGAGUAACACGUGGAUAACCUACCUAUAAGACUGGGAUAACUUCGGGAAACCGUAGCUAAUACCGGAUAAUAUUUUGAACCGCAUGGUUCAAUAGUGAAAGACGGUCUUGCUGUCACUUAUAGAUGGAUCCGCGCUGCAUUAGCUAGUUGGUAAGGUAACGGCUUACCAAGGCAACGAUGCGUAGCCGACCUGAGAGGGUGAUCGGCCACACUGGAACUGAGACACGGUCCAGACUCCUACGGGAGGCAGCAGUAGGGAAUCUUCCGCAAUGGGCGAAAGCCUGACGGAGCAACGCCGCGUGAGUGAUGAAGGUCUUCGGAUCGUAAAACUCUGUUAUUAGGGAAGAACAAAUGUGUAAGUAACUGUGCACAUCUUGACGGUACCUAAUCAGAAAGCCACGGCUAACUACGUG
rnacentral:rRNA from 1 species